AGGAUAAGUUAGGUUAGGUUAGGUUAGGUUAGGUUAGGAUAGGUUAGGUUAGGUUAGGACAGGUUAGGAUAGGUUAGGUUAGGUUAGGUUCGGUAGGUUAGGUAAGGUUAGGUUAGGUUAAGUUAGGUAGUAUUCGAGGUGUUUGAUGGAGUUAGGUUAGGUUAGGAUAGGUUAGGUUAGGUUAGGAUAGAGGUGUUUGAUGGAGUUAGGUUGGGUUAGGUUAGGUUAGGUUAGGUUAGGAUAGAGGUGAUUGAUGGAGUUAGGUUAGGUUCGGUUAGGUGAGGUUAGGUUAGGUUAGGAAUUAGGUUAGGUUAGGUUAGGUUAGGUUAGGAUAGACAGUUGGUCUGGAAAGAGAUGAUUUUCUACCUUGGAUGUUACCCGCAUUUCAUGGCGUCUGUCUGUCCUGAGUUGGCGCAGGUGUUCAUGAUUAUCUUAAAUCUACCUUGGGUGUGAACCGCAUUACCCAGUGGUGUUGGGGGGGGGGGAAGGGGUGACCCACAAUGAGUCUCUCAGAGCGAGGAAAGUGUUUCUAUUCGGAAAUCGAGUAAAUAUUUCUACCAUUGAGUGUGUUUACCAACAAGAAAAUAAUGUUCGAUUUUACGAUAAAGUUUUCAAAACUAAUUUGGAAAUAUCCAAAAAUGGAGUCGUUCAAAGUAAUUCUGGAGUACUCUAAUGUAUUUUUUGGAAGUGUUCCAAUAUAUUUUAGGUUAGGUUAGGAUAGGUUCGGCUAGGUUAGGUUGGGUUAGGUUAAGAUAGGUUAGGUUAGGUUAGGUAAUGGUUAGGCAAGGUUAGAUUAGGUUAGGUAAAGGUUAGGUUAG